CAAUUUGAACUCUAAAUUUGGAGGGGUUCAGUCCCCAUGUUAAUGUUUAAAAUGCUUUUGGCAGAGUGUCCUCUCUUCAAUCAGUGUGAGAUUGCAGAGAGGAGGAGGAGCUGGCUGUGUGGGCUUGACUAAAGGACAGCCCCCACAGCCAAUCACGCCAGAGCUGAGGGAGGACCUUCCUCCCACAACUCCAGUUCCAGGGGAAGCAGCCUGCGGUUCUGAAUUCAGAUGUACCACAGGCUGCCUGGGACAUUGGGCUGAGGCAAUGAAACUCACUACAACCCGAUUGGAGUUCCAGUUCUGAACCCUUGGUUUUGUUGCCGCACCAGACUCCAGUUCUCUGCAUUUGGACGUGCUGUCAGCGGAACCACAGACCUAAUCAACUGCAAUUCUACAUUACAUGCAAAUGUGGCCCACAUGUAUAGAGCAGGAACAUGUGUCAUUUCUGGGCAUACAGAGAACAAGGAUGUUUCCAUUCGUACCUUGCUUUGGGUGCUUUGAAAGCAUAUUCCGACUCCUUAUCUAUGAAUAAACAUUAAUAAGUCCUUUCCUCACCAGGAGGUCUGCUGGACCUUCGGAAUGCUGAAUCUUCAGAGCAAGUUACUUCCCCGCUGCGGUGCUCUCCUGCAAUUGGGAUACUGCACAUCAGAAGGCCCCCUUAUCUUGAAAAGCCAAGAAGGGUAGGCAAAAGAAGAGAGGAAGAACUUCAGAACUGUGUGGCUAAGUGUCAGCAGCAUGUGCCAUAAAAAGAAGGAAAGGCAGUUGUGAUGAAGAAUGAAAAGGAACAUUGGCAAAUCCUGCUUCCUCUUUCACAGAUAGAGGAACACUUUGAAAAGCAGAACUUGUACAGUUCCCAUUGUGUGCAAAAAAAGAAAACCAGGUGGACAGAGUCCAAAGAAGAUGAACAAGCUGCCUGCACACUGUGGAGCUGUGCUUUGCAAAGACUUCCAAGAAGCUGUUACAAAGGAGGAGUAAGCAUAGGAAGGAAUGCUGAUGAGAAAUCCUGGCUUAAUAGUCAGCAACAGACACAGCUACAUAGAAUGUUUAUGUAAGGGUAGUGCCACUGAGAUCAAUGGGGCUAUUCAAGAUAAAGUGAUUUGGUGAUGAAAGUUUCUUCAUGAUCACUUAGGGAUUUGGGAAGUUUUUCUGUUUCAUGGGUA